rnacentral:lncRNA from 1 species
UUUUUUUUUCCCUGCUCCUAAGUUUAUCGUCAUUUUCCCGUUCCCUAACAGACUGGCUAGGAUCCUGUUUUAAGUGGCUCCUGAGAUCACUCUCACAACCGACCUUAGUGGAUCUGCCAUAAAAGCCAUUCUGUUAACAUUGGACAUGCUGCUAGAUGAAGAGACUAGAAGGAAAUACUCCAAGCUACUAUCGCUGGUGGCUGGCUUUACAUGGCAACACCAGCAGAAAGGUGCCAAGGAAAGUGGUGGAACAAGGGCUUUGUUACAGGGACCUUUGUCCAACUGAUGUGCCAAUCAUUUGCUCAGGCGAAGGAUUCAGCAGUAAUCCUGCCAGGGUUCUCAAAGAAAUCCCAUAUCCAGGAUGAUGGGCUGUCUCUCUACCUCUGAUACCGGCGUCUUUCUACACUCACCAUUACACAUUUACCCUAUUGUUUUGAGAGCCACAUUUCCAUCUGUGGAAACUCAGCUGCCGUCUGCAUUAUGACAAAUAUGUAUUUUAUUACUAAUUUGUAUUACAUUGUAAUUGUAAUGUUAUUAAUCUAGCCCUU